AGAAGUGUCUCGACCCGAAACGUCGCCUACUCCUUUUCUCCAUAGAUGCUGCCUCACCCGCUGAGUGUCUGCAGCAUUUUUCGUCUACUGUUGAUUUCUCCAGCA